rnacentral:rRNA from 1 species
UGGGGAAUAUUGCACAAUGGAGGGAACUCUGAUGCAGCGACGCCGCGUGAACGAAGAAGGCUUUCGAGUCGUAAAGUUCUUUUAUAUGGGAAGAUAAUGACGGUACCAUAAGAAAAAGCCCCGGCUAACUACGUGCCAGCAGCCGCGGUAAUACGUAGGGGGCUAGCGUUGUCCGGAAUCACUGGGCGUAAAGGGUUCGCAGGCGGAAAUGCAAGUCAGGUGUAAAAGGCAGUAGCUUAACUACUGUAAGCAUUUGAAACUGCAUAUCUUGAGAAGAGUAGAGGUAAGUGGAAUUUUUAGUGUAGCGGUGAAAUGCGUAGAGAUUAAAAAGAAUACCGGUGGCGAAGGCGGCUUACUGGGCUCAUUCUGACGCUGAGGAACGAAAGCGUGGGUAGCAAACAGG